rnacentral:rRNA from 1 species
AUGUCUGACGGCAUGAAUGAUGCAGAAAUAGUUUUGGUGCUUGCUAAAAAUAAAGCAGACGUACUGGAAGCACACAAUUACGUCCAUGUCCAGCCAUUUCUUGUUGGCGAAUACUUUGAUGAGUGCAGCUCCAGUUGCCACGAGUUACAUAAAUAUUGCAUGGAUGAAAUGUUAGUAGUUCAUCAUGUUCUGCUAGUCUACCAUAAUAGAGAUCAUUUCCGACACGAUGCUGGUUCCAUCAGUGUGAAUUUCGAGGACUUAUAUCUCUUCUUCAACUUCAAUGCGCUCGAUGCCACUCUUGUUAGAUGCCUGAUUUUGGGAUUGAACGCGCAGAGAAGAAAAAGGGAGAGUGUGUAUUUCAUAGAUCCUUCAUUAGCAAAUGGCACAACAUUACAUGAUUUCGACAUAAUUUGUAAGUUCAUGGCUUUCUUAAUAUGUAGCAAUCACUGGAUCUGGGUAUUCAUUGUUCCAAACAAGAACACAGUUUACUACAUGGAUUCUCUCAGAGAGUCAACAAACGCUCAGGAUCUGACGCAUCUUCAGCAAUUCAUGGAUAGGUAUUGA